rnacentral:misc_RNA from 1 species
GAUGAAGAACGUAGCGAAAUGCGAUAAGUAGUGUGAAUUGCAGAAUUCAGUGAAUCAUCGAAUCUUUGAACGCACAUUGCGCCCCUUGGUAUCCCGAGGGGCAUGCCUGUUCGAGCGUCAUUUCACCACUCAAGCCUGGUUUGGUGUUGGGCGACGUCCCCUUUGGGGACGCGCCUCGAAACGCUCGGCGGCGUGGCACCGGCUUUAAGCGUAGCAGAAUCUUUCGCUUUGGAAGUCGGGGCCCCGUCUGCCGGAAGACCUACUCGCAAGGUUGACCUCGGAUCAGGCAGGGAUACCCGCUGAACUUAAGCAUAUCAAUAAGCGGAGGA